UACGUAGGGGGCAAGCGUUGUCCGGAUUUAUUGGGCGUAAAGCGCGUGUAGGUGGCCAAGUGGGUCCGCUGUGAAAACUUGAGGCUCAACCUCAAGCUGUCGGUGGAAACCCCUUGGCUAGAGUCCGGAAGAGGAGAGUGGAAUUCCUGGUGUAGCGGUGAAAUGCGCAGAUAUCAGGAAGAACACCAAUGGCGAAGGCAGCUCUCUGGGACGGUACUGACACUGAGACGCGAAAGCGUGGGGAGCGAACAGG
rnacentral:rRNA from 1 species